UUACGGCCACAUCAUGUUGAAACAUCGGUUCCCGUACGAUCACUGAAGUUAAGCAACGUUGGUCGUGGUCAAUACUUAGAAUAGUGACCACUUAGGAAUACUAAGU